rnacentral:rRNA from 1 species
GGACCCGCACAAGCGGUGGAUGAUGUGGUUUAAUUCGAUGCAACGCGAAAAACCUUACCCACCUUUGACAUGUAUGGAAUCCCGCAGAGAUGCGGGAGUGCUCGCAAGAGAGCCAUAACACAGGUGCUGCAUGGCUGUCGUCAGCUCGUGUCGUGAGAUGUUGGGUUAAGUCCCGCAACGAGCGCAACCCUUGCCAUCAGUUGCUACGAAAGGGCACUCUGAUGGGACUGCCGGUGACAAACCGGAGGAAGGUGGGGAUGACGUCAAGUCCUCAUGGCCCUUAUAGGUGGGGCUACACACGUCAUACAAUGGCCGGUACAAAGGGCAGCGAAGCCGCGAGGUGAAGCCAAUCCCAUAAAGCCGGUCGUAGUCCGGAUCGCAGUCUGCAACUCGACUGCGUGAAGUCGGAAUCGCUAGUAAUCGUGGAUCAGCAUGUCACGGUGAAUACGUUCCCGGGUCUU